CAAUAGCGUAUAUUAAAGUUGUUGCAGUUAAAAAGCUCGUAGUUGGAUUUCUGGUGGGAGCGAUCGGUCUGGCGCUUAGCGCGAGUACUUGCAUCGUCUCCGGCCAUCCUUGGGGAGAGUCUGUCUGGCAUUAAGUUGUCGGGCAGAGGAUCCUCAUCGUUUACUGUGAAAAAAUUAGAGUGUUCAAAGCAGGCUUAUGCCGUUGAAUAUAUUAGCAUGGAAUAAUAAGAUAGGACUUUGGUACUAUUUUGUUGGUUUGCGCACCAAAGUAAUGAUUAAUAGGGACAGUUGGGGGUAUUCGUAUUCCGUUGUCAUAGGUGAAAUUCUUGGAUUUACGGAAGACGAACUACUGCGAAAGCAUUUACCAAGGAUGUUUUCAUUAA
rnacentral:rRNA from 1 species